ensembl:lncRNA
AUAGAGGGCAUCACAACCCUCAUCACAACCCUCCCUGGUGACCAGGCUUCAUAGAGGGCAUCACAACCCUCCCUGGUGACCAGGCUUCAUAGAGGGCAUCACAACCCUCCCUGGUGACCAGGCUUCAUAGAGGGCAUCACAACCCUCCCUGGUGAACAGGCUUCAUAGAGGGCAUCACAACCCUCCCUGGUGACCAGGCUUCAUAGAGGGCAUCACAACCCUCCCCGGUGACCAGGCUUCAUAGAGGGCAUCACAACCCUCAUCACAACCCUCCCUGGUGACCAGGCUUCAUAGAGGGCAUCACAACCCUCAUCACAACCCUCCCUGGUGACCAGGCUUCAUAGAGGGCAUCACAACCCUCCCUGGUGACCAGGCUUCAUAGAGGGCAUCACAACCCUCCCUGGUGACCAGGCUUCAUGAGGGCAUCACAACCCUCAUCACAACCCUCCCUGGUGACCAGGCUUCAUAGAGGGCAUCACAACCCUCCCUGGUGACCAGGCUUCAUAGAGGGCAUCACAACCCUCAUCACAACCCUCCCUAGUGACCAGGCUUCAUAGAGGGCAUCACAACCCUCCCUGGUGACCAGGCUUCAUAGAGGGCAUCACAACCCUCCCUAGUGACCAGGCUUCAUAGAGGGCAUCACAACCCUCAUCACAACCCUCCUUGGUGACCAGGCUUCAUAGAGGGCAUCACAACCCUCCCUGGUGACCAGGCUUCAUAGAGGGCAUCACAACCCUCA